AUAUCGUCAGGGUAUACAGAGAUUUUUGCAAUGUAUUCCACCAGACGUUGACAUUAUCAAGGGACCACUAUUCCGAGAGUAAAACAAGUUUUUUUUAAAGGGAUGACAAUGAAAUUGAAGAGGCAGGGGCAGGCUACCAUAUAGUUAGAAUAAUAGACCACCACCCUCCAAUAUCUGAUGCUGACUUAAUAAAAAUGUAUGACUACCUUUCAAGCUCUGACUCGGCUCAGGUGUUGCAGCAUUUGUGAUAUCAAUUUUUAAUAUAUUUAUUUGUUAUUCAUGUUGUGAUAGAUUUACAAUUAUUGUUAUUGUUAAUUAUUAAUAUGAUUUCUGUUAUACAUUAUGAGGACUGUUGCUCAAUGAAAGGAAACUCUGGUUGUUAGUUUUGGAAGUAAAAUUCAAUAAAUUCUGAAACAUU